rnacentral:misc_RNA from 1 species
CAUGCCGAAAAUCCGGCAGAGUUUCCCCUGUACCUGGGACGUACCCAACCUGCAAAAAUGCUCAAAUAACACUUCUAAAUUCUCAAUUCCCACAAUCACAUCUCAUCAAUAUCACAUGGCCCCUCCUGGGCCCUCCAAAUCAGACAAUACUCAAAAUCUUGAAAAUUACGUUUUAGUCCCUAUAAUUGACAUUUUUCAAAAAUCCACUC